ACUUAAAUUGAAGAGUUUGAUCAUGGCUCAGAUUGAACGCUGGCGGCAGGCCUAACACAUGCAAGUCGAGCGGUAGCACAGAGAGCUUGCUCUCGGGUGACGAGCGGCGGACGGGUGAGUAAUGUCUGGGAAACUGCCUGAUGGAGGGGGAUAACUACUGGAAACGGUAGCUAAUACCGCAUAAUGUCGCAAGACCAAAGUGGGGGACCUUCGGGCCUCAUGCCAUCAGAUGUGCCCAGAUGGGAUUAGCUAGUAGGUGGGGUAAUGGCUCACCUAGGCGACGAUCCCUAGCUGGUCUGAGAGGAUGACCAGCCACACUGGAACUGAGACACGGUCCAGACUCCUACGGGAGGCAGCAGUGGGGAAUAUUGCACAAUGGGCGCAAGCCUGAUGCAGCCAUGCCGCGUGUGUGAAGAAGGCCUUCGGGUUGUAAAGCACUUUCAGCGGGGAGGAAGGCGGUGAGGUUAAUAACCUCAUCGAUUGACGUUACCCGCAGAAGAAGCACCGGCUAACUCCGUGCCAGCAGCCGCGGUAAUACGGAGGGUGCAAGCGUUAAUCGGAAUUACUGGGCGUAAAGCGCACGCAGGCGGUCUGUCAAGUCGGAUGUGAAAUCCCCGGGCUCAACCUGGGAACUGCAUUCGAAACUGGCAGGCUAGAGUCUUGUAGAGGGGGGUAGAAUUCCAGGUGUAGCGGUGAAAUGCGUAGAGAUCUGGAGGAAUACCGGUGGCGAAGGCGGCCCCCUGGACAAAGACUGACGCUCAGGUGCGAAAGCGUGGGGAGCAAACAGGAUUAGAUACCCUGGUAGUCCACGCCGUAAACGAUGUCGAUUUGGAGGUUGUGCCCUUGAGGCGUGGCUUCCGGAGCUAACGCGUUAAAUCGACCGCCUGGGGAGUACGGCCGCAAGGUUAAAACUCAAAUGAAUUGACGGGGGCCCGCACAAGCGGUGGAGCAUGUGGUUUAAUUCGAUGCAACGCGAAGAACCUUACCUGGUCUUGACAUCCACAGAACUUUCCAGAGAUGGAUUGGUGCCUUCGGGAACUGUGAGACAGGUGCUGCAUGGCUGUCGUCAGCUCGUGUUGUGAAAUGUUGGGUUAAGUCCCGCAACGAGCGCAACCCUUAUCCUUUGUUGCCAGCGGU
rnacentral:rRNA from 1 species